rnacentral:rRNA from 1 species
AUUGAACGCUGGCGGCAGGCCUAACACAUGCAAGUCGAGCGAGAGGCGGACGGGGGAGAAAGAUCCGGGAAACUGCCGGAUGGAGGGGGGUAACUCCACGAAACGGUAGCUAUUAUCGCAUACCAUAAGAUGUGACCACAUGGGAUUAGGUAGUAGGUGGGGUAAUGUCUCACCUAGGCGACGAUCACUAGCUGGUCUGAGAGGAUGACCAGCCACACUGGUACUGAGACACGGUCCAGACUCCUACGGGAGGCAGCAGUGGGGAAUAUUGCACAAUGGGCGCAAGCCUGAUGCAGUCAUGCCGCGUGUAUGAAGAAGGCCUUCGGGUUGUAAAGUACUUUCGGCGAGGAGGCGUUACUCGCAGAAGAAGCACCGACUAACUCCGUGCCAGCAGCCGCGGUAAUUC